GUGCUUGCUUUGGCAGCACGUAUACUAAAAUUGAAAUGAUACAGAGAAGAUUAGCACGGCCCCUGUGCAAGGAUGACAUGCAAAUUUAUAAAGCGUUCCAUAUUUUA
ensembl:snRNA U6 U6 spliceosomal RNA